UGGGGAAUAUUGCACAAUGGGCGCAAGCCUGAUGCAGCCAUGCCGCGUGUAUGAAGAAGGCCUUCGGGUUGUAAAGUACUUUCAGCGAGGAGGAAGGCGUUGUGGUUAAUAACCGCAACGAUUGACGUUACUCGCAGAAGAAGCACCGGCUAACUCCGUGCCAGCAGCCGCGGUAAUACGGAGGGUGCAAGCGUUAAUCGGAAUUACUGGGCGUAAAGCGCACGCAGGCGGUCUGUCAAGUCGGAUGUGAAAUCCCCGGGCUCAACCUGGGAACUGCAUCCGAAACUGGCAGGCUAGAGUCUUGUAGAGGGGGGUAGAAUUCCAGGUGUAGCGGUGAAAUGCGUAGAGAUCUGGAGGAAUACCGGUGGCGAAGGCGGCCCCCUGGACAAAGACUGACGCUCAGUUGCGAAAGCGUGGGGAGCAAACA
rnacentral:rRNA from 1 species